rnacentral:lncRNA from 1 species
GCACGUGAGCGUUUAGCAAGCAUUUAAGAAUGUGGUGUGUGGAAGGCGAUAUUGGGCAGUUGCCAUGCAUUUUCAGCGGUUGAAAGCUUGACCUGCAUCCUAAAGGCGAUGAUUACAAAGAAGAAAGAAAGAAAGAAAUGCAUCUGGGCUUAUAUCCAAUUGGAUUACUGUCAACCACAUCCAGCUGAGAAGGGAAAAGACAGAUGUAUUGAUGGUCACUGAAAUGAGAUGGAACAAAAGACGACAACCUGAGCAGAGAAGAAAAGGUCCCUGUUCGGGCACCAUUUGUGGGGUAAUGACCACAUGGAUACCAGGGUUCAUUCAGGACCAGUAACUGCUACUACUUUAUCGAUGACAUAACUUCAACUCCCCCCUAUCGAGGACAGGUUCACUUCUUAAACCAUUCACCCUACAGCAGUACUUUUCCAACUAUUCAUUGGUCAACAACUUAGCCCGGCAAGAGCAAACACCCAGCAACUUCCAUGUCUUAACACUGGAGAACAAGCAGUCCGAGACAGCAAGGCGUCUCCUGAAUCAUGCUUCUUUCUUUCUUUUAAACACUUUACACUCCUCAUAGCCUCAUCGUUAAGAGUCCAAUGUUAUCACCAAC